rnacentral:rRNA from 1 species
UACAGAGGGCGCGAGCGUUGUCCGGAAUCACUGGGCGUAAAGGGCGCGUAGGUGGCCACUAUAAGGCCGCGGUGAAAGUUCGGGGCUCAACCCUGAAUCGGCCGCGGCGACUGUAGGGCUUGGGCACUGUAGAGGCAGAUGGAAUUCCGGGUGUAGCGGUGGAAUGCGUAGAGAUCCGGAAGAACACCGGUGGCGAAGGCGGUGAUCUGGGCCGACACUGACACUGAGAGACGAAAGCUAGGGGAGCAAAUGGG